rnacentral:rRNA from 1 species
GAUGAACGCUGGCGGCGUGCCUAAUACAUGCAAGUCGAGCGAACAGACGAGGAGCUUGCUCCUUUGACGUUAGCGGCGGACGGGUGAGUAACACGUGGGUAACCUACCUAUAAGACUGGGAUAACUUCGGGAAACCGGAUCUAAUACCGUAUAAUAUUUCGAACCGCAUGGUUCGAUAGUGAAAGAUGGCUUUGCUAUCACUUAUAGAUGGAUCUGCGCCGUAUUAGCUAGUUGGUAAGGUAACGGCUUACCAAGGCAACGAUACGUAGCCGACCUGAGAGGGUGAUCGGCCACACUGGAACUGAGACACGGUCCAGACUCCUAAGGGAGGCAGCAGUAGGGAAUCUUACGCAAUGGGCGAAAGCCUGACGGAGCAACGCCGCGUGAGUGAUGAAGGUCUUCGGAUCGUAAAGCUCUGUUAUUAGGGAAGAACAAACGUGGAAGUAACUGUGGACGGAUUGACGGUACCUAAUCAGAAAGCCACGGCUAACUACGUG